ACAAGCAGCGGAGCGUGUUGGUUUAAUUCGUUGCUACACGAAGAACCUUACCUGGGUUUGACAUAUAGGUUGUAGGGAACUGAAAAGGACCGACCCUUCGGGGAGCCUAUACAGGUGUUGCAUGGCUGUCGUCAGCUCGUGUCGUGAGAUGUUCGGUUAAGUCCGCUAACGAGCGCAACCCUCGUCGUAUGUUAUAUGUGUCAUACGAGACUGCCGGUAAAAAGCCGGAGGAAGGUGAGGAUGAUGUCAAGUCAGCAUGACCUUUAUAUCCAGGGCUACACACACGCUACAAUGGUCUGUACAAUGGGUAGCCAAGCCGCGAGGCGGAGCCAAUCCUGAAAGCAGGCCUCAGUUCAGAUUGCAGUCUGCAACUCGACUGCAUGAAGCCGGAGUUGCUAGUAACCGCAGGUCAGCAAUACUGCGGUGAAUACGUUCCCGGGUCUU
rnacentral:rRNA from 1 species